rnacentral:rRNA from 1 species
CAAUAGCGUAUAUUAAAGUUGUUGCAGUUAAAAAGCUCGUAGUUGAAUUUCGGGUGCUCGUAGUCGGUCCUUCAUUGGGCUGGCGCGUGUGCUCUCCCCGCCUUUGGCGGCCUUUACUGUGAAAAAAUUAGAGUGUUCAAAGCAGGCAAUCGCUUGAAUACAUUAGCAUGGAAUAAUAAGAUAGGACCUUGUCUAUUUUGUUGGUUGCGGACAAAGAUAAUGAUUAAUAGGGAUAGUUGGGGGUGUCCGUAUUGAGCUGUCAGAGGUGAAAUUCUUGGAUUUGCUCAAGACGAACUGCUGCGAAAGCGUUCACCAAGGAUGUUUUCAUUAA